GAUGAAGAACGCAGCGAAAUGCGAUAAGUAGUGUGAAUUGCAGAAUUCAGUGAAUCAUCGAAUCUUUGAACGCACAUUGCGCCCCCUGGCAUUCCGGGGGGCAUGCCUGUCCGAGCGUCAUUUCUGCCCUCAAGCACGGCUUGUGUGUUGGGUGUGGUCCCCCCGGGGACCUGCCCGAAAGGCAGCGGCGACGUCCGUCUGGUCCUCGAGCGUAUGGGGCUCUGUCACUCGCUCGGGAAGGACCUGCGGGGGUUGGUCACCACUAUAUUUUACCACGGUUGACCUCGGAUCAGGUAGGAGUUACCCGCUGAACUUAAGCAUAUCAAUAAGCGGAGGA
rnacentral:misc_RNA from 1 species